GACGAACGCUGGCGGCGUGCCUAAUACAUGCCAGUCGAGCGAAGUUUUUCUGGUGCUUGCACUAGAAGAACUUAGCGGCGAACGGGUGAGUAACACGUAAAGAACCUGCCUCAUAGACUGGGACAACUAUUGGAAACGAUAGCUAAUACCGGAUAACAGCAUUAACUGCAUGGUUGAUGUUUAAAAGUUGGUUUUGCUAACACUAUGAGAUGGCUUUGCGGUGCAUUAGCUAGUUGGUGGGGUAAAGGCCUACCAAGGCGACGAUGCAUAGCCGACCUGAGAGGGUGAUCGGCCACACUGGGACUGAGACACGGCCCAGACUCCUACGGGAGGCAGCAGUAGGGAAUCUUCCGCAAUGGGCGAAAGCCUGACGGAGCAACGCCGCGUGAGUGAAGAAGGAUUUCGGUUCGCAAAGCUCUGUUGUUAGGGAAGAAUGAUUGUGUAGUAACUAUACACAGUAGAGACGGUACCUAACCAGAAAGCCACGGCUAACUACGUG
rnacentral:rRNA from 1 species